ACUGUUUGGGAACCUUUUGGCCUUUUUGAAGAUAGGCUAGUAUGAUUUGUGGUGGAAAAGCAUCAAACCCUGCUUUCCAGCUUUUCUUGUGCUGUUUUCAAGGUUGCUUUGAAGACUGUUUGUUGGCUCUGUUAGUAUCUUUGGAAAUGGUGAUUUGUAUUGGACAUGGAACUUCUGUAACUCUUGGAAAGGAUUUCUAAAUGUAUUGUCUACAGAACUAACCGUGGGUAUUUUUAGAGUCCAAAAUGUGAACUCAUUCACUAAUUGAGAAAUUAACUUUUUUUUCUUCUUCUUUCAGCGCUACGACUUGUUGUGAAGCAUUUACAGCUGCUCCACUUAUGCAUAUUUUCAAACAGGCAGGAUCUUUUGAAAACGAUACCUAAUGUUAUGUUAUUAAAAUGGCUAUCCAUACAAGGCAGAGUGUAAAAAUGAAAAUGCUGACAGGUUCAAGCAGGACAGUUUCAGGAAAGUAUGACUUGAGAGAGGCAGCCAGACAGACAAUCCAAAUGCUUCAGUUGGCAGGAUGAAGUGAUAUGCUAAUGUAAGAGAAAAGAGCCCUUGCUUUCUGUAAGUGCCUUCGUUGCAUCCCAAGAAGGAAAGCUGCUGCAUCAUUGAACCAGUUAGUCUCCAGUGUGCCACCCUGCCCAGAUUUCUUCCAAGGAAGGAGUAGUGGAUGUGAUCUCUGCAAAAAGAAAGCUUGUCUGGUAAAGAGCAAUUUUCCUCUUUAAGUAGCUUUUGACAUUAAAGCAAAGAACUCUCAAUACCAUAUUUUAUGUACUUUUGAAAAAUGGGCUGUUUACUUCGUUCUGUCUGUGCGGGAUAUGCAGAUUGAGGACUGUACUGUGUCAUACACAAACAUCUGCGACCCUGGGUAGAGUAUGUAAUGCUGUAAACGUUACAGUCCACGUGCUUGCACAGAGCAUUGCAUAGAAACUAGAAGAGUUUGUGCCAGAGCCAGGGGCACAGGAGUGGCUUUUUAAGAACUGUCCUUAUGUCUGUUUCUUUUAGUUUGUAGAGGUUAAAACUUUCUGAAACAUUAUGCAAAGCUGAGGUAUAGCACCCCUGCUAAUACAGUAUGUAAAUAUUCUCAUUACAUUUGGGGGGCAUAUUUCACCAUUUUGACAUAUAGCAGUGCUAUAGAGGGGCAUGACAAGGAGCAAUCUAUACCUGCAGCAAUGAUGAAGCAGUUAUAUUUCAGACAUAACAUCAUUCUUUGUAAAAAUAGUCCUCACUCUCUCUAGGCUAAAACAUCACGGCCACCUGUAAGGUUUGUUAUGCUACAGUCAAAACUGCAGUUGAAAGGGAUUUCUUCUUUCCUUUUAGUUUUGUUAACUUACGGAGGAGGAAAUAAUUUCAGUUCACUUUAGGAAUCGGUCCCGUUCCUUUGCACCUGUUUUCCCUAAGUUAGUCCUUGGAACAAUACCGGCUCAAUUAUAGUGAAGUAAUAUCAUGCAUUUUGAGCUUGUGGAAUCCACAGACCGCGUAAUUCUCUGCAUUUCCUCCCCCUUCCUUGCAUCCCACUUUUUGACAGUGUCCUUCUGCUGGAGCUAUGCUGGAAAACCUUGCAACCUUGCGUGUGCGUGUGUGCGUGCAUGUGUGUGCGUGUGCACACAUGCUGCAUGCAAAAUCCUACACUUUGUUUAGUCUGCAGAACCUCUUCUGUUAGCUAACGCUCCAGGCUCCGCAAAGGUGCAGUGAGAGAGGAGCACUAGUAAGUACCUAAGGCAGAAAGCAAACAAGGGCUUUAUCACUGGUCUUUAACUCCUAUCAAAAGGGGAGGGAGGGAGAAGUCAUUUAAACAUGAGGCUUGAAUGAAAAUUAGCAUGGAUUAGUCACAGUUGUCCCAGGAGUCCUGUUAUCUCAGGUCACAGGUACUUAUGGUAGGGAGUGGGGUACUUUACCUGUAGGAUCCCCAAGUGAAAGACUCUUGAGGGAGCCAAGAGGGGGAGGAAGAGUCCUGGGUCUGUUUUUAGCCAAAGGGAAUUCCCCUUGAGGCAUGGCAGGAGUAGUGUGUGUCUCCCUGUCUUUUCCCAGUGGAUGAGCUCCUGGGCAGUUCAUGCAUGGAGGAAGGAUGACUCUCUAGCCUGUUCCCCGCAGGUAAACGGCAACAAAUUGAACUGAUUUGGAGAAACAAGUGGGUUACGUCUGAGCAGCUUCCUUGCUUGCUAGUCAGUUGGCUGAAGAGUGGUUGAUGCUGAUGUUACUUAAUACUAGAUUUACCCUUCUGUGGCCCCUGGCAGAGAGAUCGGGGCAUUCAUCCUCCACUUUGCACAGACUGGAGGGAACAACCUGGCUCCCAUCUUAGUUUUGAAGAACUUCAUUGCUGAAAAAUCAAAUGCGCACGUGUUCCCUAAGGAACGUAUCCAUUCAAAGGCAUGAAAUAUAAACGUAUAUUGUUACGUGCAAAUGCUUUGCACAAGUACAUUUGCUGGAUGCAUUUGGUAUGUUCUUCAAGCAAGUAGUGUCGUUAGCUGUUAAAUUCUUGACUCCUCUGUUAGGCUUGGGACAGAAAUUACACACAAGCUGGUCUAAGAGAUUGGAAACAGGUUCAGAUCUGGAACACAACAGAAGGAUGGGGCACAUAAGCCACUUUCAAGAUUGCCGAAACAGGUUUAAGAUAAGCCUGGAUGGAUGUAGUAUUAGACUGAACUGAUUUAGAUUAAACUGGUUUAUUGUACUUCUGACCCAGACCCUCUCCAGAUUCAUAUUAACACAUAGUCCCCCAGCAUCCCUGGACCUCUGCCAGCCUGCAAGGGAAAAGCCACCUUUGCCCACGUUUUCCUCCAUUAAAAGACAAUCCACCCUUAAAGUUUGUUGAUCCAGUUUUAAAGUUUGUUCGUGACCCUUUCAUAGGCACUUGUGACCCCCUUUUGGGACACAACCCGCGAACUGAGAACCGCUGCGGUAGAGCAGCAGGGUCGGUCGCGGAGCGCGCUGCUGCGGAGCGGAGGGGCAGUGCCGCUCAACCCUGUGAGACGGGUCCCACGUACCAGAUCAGACCUCUUUGUGGGCCAGAUUAAGCCUGUGGGCUGGAGAUUGCCACCCCCUCUUAUAGCUCCUUUUCAGCUGGGGCUUUGUAGAUGCUCCUGUUACCUUGUUUCUACAUCGAAAGACUCGUGCUACACGGCAGGGUAGGCUUUCACCUCGUAGACUAAGUCAAUCAGAGGUGCGUAAGCUUUUGUAAGCGAGCUCGCUUCAUACCCCUUUCUUUUUCCUCCCUUCCCUACCCUUUGUUUUCCAGUAACUGCUCUCUGUUUAGAACCGCUGCUUCCUGAAACGUCUUGUUUGACAACAGAGCCGUCCAGUUUCUGAGUGGCUGGGGCUGCAGCCCCCCUAUCCGCAUGCUGUAGGGGCUGCAUGCCCACCAGAGCCGCCUCCUGCACGAGCUGAAAGGGGUCUGCAGGACCUCCCCAGCCACAGACUCCCUUGCACCAGGACUGUGCCGCCCUGCCUUGGCCCUAGUGCACAAGGGGUGGCGGGGGGAAGUGGGCACGCAGGAAGCAGAUGCUGGGCUAGGGAAGGGGAUUUUGGUGGCAGCAGCAGCAGCGAAGCGAUGGGGCAAGCAGACUCGGGACUGGGAGUUUGGGAGCUGCACGCAGCCCACAGGCCGCCAGUCGGAUGCCCGUAACUGGUUGGCUUUCUGUGGUUUACUCUCCUUAUGUGCUGUCCCUAUAUUCAUUUUAGUUCUCGUUGAGUUUUCCUUUUCUUACUCCUUCUUCGAAACAUCUCCUAGGUUGAUCCUGACGGUAAAACAAGCGUACCCGUUAAGAUGACUGCGGGGAAAGUAUCCUGUUUUCAUCUACGCAGCCUGGUGAGUUCCACGAUUUACAUUUGAAAAGUACCUCUUACAGCACAUGUCCUUAGAGCUGAUUUUUUCUAUUAUAUGAUAAGCUUCUCAUGGCUUUUCCCUCCCCCGAUACGUGUGAAGUGGGUCUAGACUUUUGGGAGAUCGCAUGUUUUUCUGUCGAAAAACCACAGGGCGGGUCAGCACUGCUACUUAGGACGCCGUAACGUGCGACUUCUCGGAGCGUGUGACAAAGAGUUCCCGUUGACGUUACACGGUAUUUAGUAUUGCCAGCCCCACAACCAAUGCUAGUUGUGCCAUUGCAUUGCUGCUGCGGCUGUUGCAUUGGUUAGCAGCAGCCCCCGAACUGACAAGCUCCACACGUCUUCAAGGCUCCCAGGAGGCAGUUUCCGGACUGGUGUUAUCACCGACCGACCGUGCUGGGCAUGGCUUAUGGCGCUAGCAGUGCCGCGGUGCUUGCAGCGGGCAUGCUGACAGCCUCUUAUCCCACGGAGAGCUCCUGACAGUCGGUCCGUUCCCGCUGGGGAUUUAACAAGGCCUUGGUUGGCAGCGCCUUCCAAGACGGGCAGUUUUCCUGUGCGGGGACAGCCUCCCGCGUCCAUCCCGCGUCUCCCUGGACGGAGCAGGGCCGGGCAGAAGCCACGCGCUACGGUUCGGAGGAGAGCAGUGCCGGGGCAGGGUUCAAGUCAGGAUGUCGUCGUCACGCUGGGGCGUUUCUCCACCUUCCUGCCGAGAGCGUCUCGUCUCCGCUUCCUGUGCUCCAACAGCCAGCGCGGAGGCGAGAGAGGCAGGGAGGCGGUGAGGGGACGGGAACAUGAGCAAGGCAGAUGCCAGUGCUGUGGGCCCCACGGGGGGUGGGUGGCGUUGCCAGAGGGAGUUUUCCCUGGGGCCAGAGGCUGCUUGUGACAGCCGAGGGAGCGGGGCUCUCGUCUGACGGUCGGGUGCGAGCACGCUGGAACGAUUCAAACGAGGCAAAGCACAGGCUCCGCGCCCCAAACUGGAAAGGUGUCGCUGCAUUCGAGUUGUUCCUGCGCAGCGUUGAAGCGUGUUCACGCUCGGUGACGAAGCUCGUUCACCCUGCGUGAUGAAGUACGUUCACACACAACAGCGAAGCACGUGGACACGCAACGAAAUGUGUGCACACAAACAGCGAAGCCUGUUCACGCGCAGUAGCGAGCGGUCUAACUGUUGUUAGGCGUGAGCUCGCUGAGAGCAACCGAGAUGAAGCAGAGGAGAGGCCCCACACGCCAAACUGGAAAGGUUUUGCUCUGGUUCAAUCCUCAGCUCGUUCACAGGCAGCAGUUAAAGCGUGUUCACGCUCAAUGAUGAGGCGUGUUCAAAUGCAAUUAGGUGCGUUCACACUCAGCGAUUUAAUAGCGUUGAAACGCGUUUACACGCAGCGUUUAAGCACAUUCGCAUAGACGAGUGACGCGCCUUCCCUUCCUCCUCAGGAUUAGAGCUUAAUAGCAGCUGCCCCUUUGAACCCUGCCCCUGGGGAAGGACUCCCAGCGUGCCUGUGUGCCGCUAAGAGCGCUGUCGCUGGGAGCAGGGCCCCGCUGGACUGGAGAGGGUUGAUGUGAGACGCUGCCAUCGUGGGGCUGAGGCUUCCUUGCAAAGGUGUGGAGCCUCUCAGUUGUUCACAGCUAGUUCACACCCAACCACGAGAACAAUGCUUUUGCGUAUGGCCACCAGCCACGAGGCGCCAGGCAAGCUGUUGUAGGGGGCAGUCUUGACUAGGAGCCUUGGGCCGGGAGACGGGGCUUGUGCGUCUCCCCUGCCCACGGGGGGCGCUCCUCCCACCGCACCGUCCAUCUCCCCCUGCUCCAAGGCCACGCGACGACAAAACGAUGCAUGCGCUCACCACGUAGUUGGUGUGUAGCGCAUCGUGCUCCAGAAGCCUCGCCUUGGUGUUGUGGCGGCCUCUGGCUCUUCCCAGGCCUUCCAGCUUUCAGUUGUGGCUCGCAUCUGACCUCUGAGACGUACCGUACCGUACCGUACCGCCUGUGUUCAGUUUGGUUCGUUUUGCUUCAUAACAGUGACGACAACAUCCACAGCUUUCCAGCAUCCUAAAGCCCCCGAUUUCUGCUGUGACAGAGGAUUUCCGUUGUAACAGAGCUGUUCGCAGGGGGUCACCAAGCAGGCUGCCCCUGACACCCCCCCCCUCAGCUGCACGCUGCUGACCGCGCUCUUCAUCCAGGUGCAGGCAGAGGGACCGCUUUCCUCCGGGCAGGCCAGCCACCCCGUCCUUCUCGGACAAGUAGUAGCCUGCCUGCCAGACUGCCGGGGGCCCCUGCCCGGCACCAGCCCCCCCCAGAUGUCUCUGACGAAGCGACGAGAUCUACUUUUUGACAGCAGCAAGUUCUCCCCGAGGGGAGGUGCACCGCUCCUGGAGGCACUGCAAUACCAGGCCGAUGCGUGGAGUGGAUGGAGCAAGCUCCGAGUCCAUCUCCCAGUUCCAAAAAUCCAUUUAAUAUAAA